AGUCUGCUGGACUGUAACAGAAGGGCGUUCCUGCCCCCUAGUGUCACAUUUGGCUUUUGCAGCGAGGGAGAAGCAGCUCGGUGACACUCCUGGACACAUUUUGGGAGAACUGCUAACUCAAACUGAAAUGUUUCUUUUUUGGGGUCUAUGUGGUAAAACUUAAAUUAAAACGGUCAAUGGAAACAUCUUUGUCCGGCACCUGGAACGAGUUUUCUCUUGAAGCCCCGGCUCAUUAAACUGUCCGUUGCUUAUUAGUGGAGAUUAUGUGCUUUAUUGAAGCUUCACUUUACUCCACCUGCUGCUCCCAGCAACGUUUGAUCAUUAGUAAUCAAACCAAGCACAACCACAUUAUUUGAUCACAGUCUCCUCGAGUUGAGGGUUGACUUCGCAACUGAUGUCACAGGUCCCAACUCCAUAAGCAAGCUUCUUUGAAGUGCCAAGAAGUCGUGUUCCAGGUCGCAGACCUCACAGGACAGGGGUUACACCAACGGCAGCGUGUCCUCCCCGCGUCGAGCUGCCGUGAGAAGACGAGGAGCGGGGAGGCUAUUGACGGGAUCAAGCAAGACGAGAUCAAGGAGGACCUGAGGAAGCAGGACGAGGUCAAGGAGGACCUGAGGAAGCAGGAAGAGGUCAAGAGAUCAAGGAGGACCUGAGGAAGCAGGAAGAGGUCAAGGAGGACCUGAGGAAGCAGGACGAGGUCAAGGAGGACCUGAGGAAGCAGGACGAGAACAAGGAGGACCUGAGGAAGCAGGAGGAGAACAAGGAGGACCUGAGGAAGCAGGAGGAGAAUAAGGAGGACCUGAGGAAGCAGGAGGAGAAUAAGGAGGACCUGAGGAAGCAGGACGAGAUUAAGGACACAGGUGCCUCUUAUUGUUGGACUCUUCAUGCACAAACACAACUGCGUUAAUGUAGCAGUCAGCAGAGUCCCACUCGGGUUAAGACUCAACCGGGUAACGUCCUUCCUCUGGUUAGCACUCCAGCAUACUUAGUUUAUAAGUUUAUCAAAUCAAAUCAUUGUGAAGUCCAAAAAUAAAAAAGGUAAAAUAGGUCUAG
ensembl:lncRNA